UACGUAGGGGGCAAGCGUUGUCCGGAAUUAUUGGGCGUAAAGCGCGCGCAGGCGGCCUUUUAAGUCUGAUGUGAAAGCCCACGGCUCAACCGUGGAAGGUCAUUGGAAACUGAAAGGCUUGAGUACAGAAGAGGAAAGCGGAAUUCCACGUGUAGCGGUGGAAUGCGUAGAGAUGUGGAGGAACACCAGUGGCGAAGGCGGCUUUCUGGUCUGUAACUGACGCUGAGGCGCGAAAGCGUGGGGAGCAAACAGG
rnacentral:rRNA from 1 species